rnacentral:rRNA from 1 species
AUUGAACGCUGGCGGCAGGCCUAACACAUGCAAGUCGAGCGAGCGGGGGACGGGAGAGUAAUGUCUGGGAAACUGCCAGAUGGAGGGGGUAAAUUACUGGAAACGGUAGUAAAUACCGCAUACCAUCAGAUGUUCCCUGAUGGGAUGAGCUAGUAGGUGGGGUAAUGGCUCACCUAGGCGACGAUCCAUAGUUGGUCUGAGAGGAUGACCGGCCACACUGGAACUGAGACACGGUCCAGACUCCUACGGGAGGCAGCAGUGGGGAAUCUUGCACAAUGGGCGCAAGCCUGAUGCAGCCAUGCCGCGUGUGUGAAGAAGGCCUUCGGAUUGUAAAGCUCUUUCAGCGGGGAAGCGUUACCCGCAGAAGAAGCACCGGCUAACUCCGUGCCAGCAGCCGCGGUAAUUC